GCCUCCGUGGCGCAGUCGGCUAGCGCGUUCGGCUGUCAACCGAAAGGUUGGUAAUUCGAGCAAGUCCGGGGGCG